rnacentral:tRNA from 2 species
CACGUCGAUGGGGAAUCGAGUUCCGUUGGGAUCGAUCCACAGCAGUUGCUCCGCUGCAACUGAAUCGGUGCUGUCGCCGGUGAUGCGC